rnacentral:rRNA from 1 species
GCGGUGCCUUGGGUGUGAUUGCAGAAUCCGUGAACCAUCGAGUCUUUGAACGCAAGUUGGCGCCCGAAGCCAUUAGGUUGAGGGCACGCCUGCCUGGGUGUCACACAUCGUUACCCUAAAGCAAACGCCUCAUGUGCGUGUGCAGGGUGGAAGCUGACCUCCCGUGGGCCACGACUCGCGGCUGGUUCAAAAUGGAGUUCAUGGUCGAGAAUGCCGUGAUAAAAUGGUGGAUGAGCGUUGCUCGAGACCAAUCGCGUGCAACUCGGUCGAUUUUGGAUUCUUCGACCCAAUUGCGUCCAUGGACGCUCCCAACGAGACCUCAGGUCAGGCGGGGCCACCCGCUGAGUUUAAGCAUAUCAAUAAGCGGAGG